rnacentral:misc_RNA from 1 species
ACUGUAGUUUUGCUUUAAAAAAUAAUUAUUUUUAGCAGGGAGUAAAUAUAAUAUAAGAGAAAAGAAAAAAAGGAGGGAGAAUAAAAAAAGAUUUUUCCUUGUUUGGUUUCCGAGAAAAGAGUGGGAAAGUUGGAAUAAUUUAAAAGAUAAUGUUAUAUACAAAAGAUAUUUUCUUUCCUUUCUCACAUUUUCUUGGAGUCAGAAGCAAAAAGGAAAAUGAGAGGAGGAUAGUGUACAAUAUUACUGACCUUAAAGCAGCUAGAGAAGUAG